rnacentral:rRNA from 1 species
AGUGAACGCUGGCGGUAGGCCUAACACACGCAAGUCGAACGGCAGCACAGGAGAGCUUGCUCUCUGGGUGGCGAGUGGCGGACGGGUGAGGAAUACAUCGGAAUCUACUCUGUCGUGGGGGAUAACGUAGGGAAACUUACGCUAAUACAGCAUACGACCUACGGGUGAAAGCAGGGGACCUUAGGGCCUUGCGCGAUUGAAUGAGCCGAUGUCGGAUUAACUAGUUGGCGGGGUAAAGGCCCACCAAGGCGACGAUCCGUAGCUGGUCUGAGAGGAUGAUCAGCCACACUGGAACUGAGACACGGUCCAGACUCCUACGGGAGGCAGCAGUGGGGAAUAUUGGACAAUGGGCGCAAGCCUGAUCCAGCCAUACCGCGUGGGUGAAGGAGGCCUUCGGGUUGUAAAGCCCUUUUGUUGGGAAAGAAAUCCAGCUGGCUAAUACCCGGUUGGGAUGACGGUACCCAAAGAAUAAGCACCGGCUAACUUCGUGCCAGCCGCCGCCGUAA